rnacentral:rRNA from 1 species
GACAGAGGGGGCAAGCGUUGCUCGGAAUUACUGGGCGUAAAGGGUGCGUAGGCGGCGCGGUAAGUCGGGGUGUGAAAUCUCGGAGCUUAACUCCGAAACUGCAUUCGAUACUGCCGUGCUUGAGGACUGGAGAGGAGACUGGAAUUUACGGUGUAGCGGUGAAAUGCGUAGAUAUCGUAAGGAAGACCAGUGGCGAAGGCGGGUCUCUGGACAGUUCCUGACGCUGAGGCACGAAGGUCAGGGGAGCAAACGGG